AUGUAAUAGACUUUUGUUCCUGUAGUUCAAAGCAGUAGGUGGAGCUACUCAACCAGAGUACCGAACCUUAUCAACCUCGACAACUAUGCAAGGAAAAGUAUUAUUCAGAAAGAGAAAGAAAGGACAAUUAUAAUGAUGAAACAUUUGGUACUCCCCAUAACCUGAGUCAAGAUAGAGCAGAGAAGGAAAAAAUGAGAAGAGAUUCAUUUGAAUUAACGAGGAAGGAACAAGACAUGGUCACUCAAAAAAAGCCAAAAUCUAGCUGUCAAGACCUUGAAGAGAAUUUGAACCCAUAUAUUU